GCCGGAUCCGGAUGUCGCGGCGA
rnacentral:piRNA from 1 species